CUUGGGAAAAGUCAGUUACAACUUGGACCUAAAUAGAGAAGGACAAGUAACGCGGAGAAAGAUCAAAGGAUAAUCGGCUUAGCGCGAGCUCUUCGCGAAACGAUGUGCGUUCGGAUCACGUGACCUCCCGUACAGGUAGCGAGCAUAUCGCGGCUGUUGAUGACUUUUUGUGUCAUUUGGACAGGUAGCUGGUGAUAACGCGAGGAAAACGUUCGGGUGGAUGAGUCAAGACACUUAUAGAGAUAAAAUAUUCUCUCCACAAGAUGCCAGAAAGUUAAAAUUGGACAAUGCACCAUUGCCCAAGAGGAGACUCACUAAUUAAACAUUUGGACAGUAAUUCACAUAGGUCAAUGAGAAAUUAGUUUAUACCUUUUAUAAAUAAGUUAAUACUACUUGGAUACAAAUAGGAAAGAACUCCAACAUGACUUUCACAAAAAGAGACAAGACAAGAAAACUGCACAUGUAUUGUAUAUUCAUCAUCACUAGCUUUGUAACAAGCAUUUUAAAAUUUUAAUGUUUACUUUUAUAAUAAUAAAUAUUGGAAUGUACUCAAGUUGUUUUAUA